UUUUUCUUUUAGAGGUUCAAUUUUCAGGUGGUUUGCGAGUUACUGGUAUACAAAAUGGCUGCUUGUUCACCUCCGUCAAAGCGAAGGCGAAAGAAUCACGGCGAAGAUAAAGAUGAAGAGUCAUCAUCGCAGCCGCCGGUGGUUGUCUUUGCUCACGGCGCCGGUGCCCCUUCUUCUUCCGAUUGGAUGAUUAGAUGGAAGGACAUGUUGAAAAAUGCUUUGCAGGCUAUUGAAGUCGUCACAUUUGACUAUCCUUAUAUUUCUGGAGGAAAAAAGAGGGCUCCCC
rnacentral:misc_RNA from 1 species